UACGGGGGGGGCAAGCGUUGUUCGGAAUUACUGGGCGUAAAGGGCUCGUAGGCGGCCAACUAAGUCAGACGUGAAAUCCCUCGGCUUAACCGGGGAACUGCGUCUGAUACUGGAUGGCUUGAGUUUGGGAGAGGGAUGCGGAAUUCCAAGUGUAGCGGUGAAAUGCGUAGAUAUCUGGAGGAACACCGGUGGCGAAGGCGGCAUCCUGGACCAACACUGACGCUGAGGAGCGAAAGCCAGGGGAGCAAACGGG
rnacentral:rRNA from 1 species